AACGGCCAUACCAUGCUGAAUAUACCAGUUCUCGUUUGAUCACCGAAGUCACGCAUCAUUGGGGGCGGUCAGUACUUGGGAUCUUGGCCACCUGGAAACAACGCGUGGCGU
rnacentral:rRNA from 1 species